CGGAUUGUAGUCUGCAACUCGACUACAUGAAGCUGGAAUCGCUAGUAAUCGCGAAUCAGAAUGUCGCGGUGAAUACGUUCCCGGGUCUUGUACACACCGCCCGUCACACCAUGGGAGUCAGUAACGCCCGAAGUCAGUGACCCAACCUUUUAGGAGGGAGCUGCCGAAGGUGGGACCGAUAACUGGGGUGAAGUCGUAACAAGGUACC
rnacentral:rRNA from 1 species